AUAAAUAUGGUCAAUCAGUCAACCAACAAAAUUUGGUAGGUAUGGCUGGUAAACUUGUGUACAUGUGCAAUCUGGCUGGUAAACUUUGGUAGAUAAAUCGAAUCAGACACCAUUGAAAUGAUUCUGUUAAUAACAAAUAUUUAAUAUUCAAUCUGAUUGCAGUGCUAACAAUUACAUGAGACAAGCUUAAUGAUAACGACAGGAACACAAACUAAUGUCUGAAAAUCAUUAUUUACAAAUGAAUGCACUACAAAUGGGAUAUAUACCAACACUAUUAGCGACAACAACCAAUGGGGAAAAUAGCCAUGUAAAGUGUCAUAUUAGUCUCUGAAGACGAAACAUAAUUUAGAUAUCUCACCAUAUCUUUUGGAGAUCGAAUGUACCAAACCUUAACAUCAUGUGCCAAAUCUCCCUAGAGAUCCUUCAUAGAAAUUUCUUUUUCGCUUUAUUUCAUCUCCUAAAACAUAGCAGUAUAAGAAAGUACUGAAUUUCACAAAUGAAUCGGACGAGUAACUUGUUUUUUUCUUUGUAUGUUCUCCUCAAUUGAUUUAGAAAAAAAGAAUAAAUGAAUAAAAUUUAGAUGGAAACUAACAUUUCUUAUCCUAAGCCAUGGAUGCAUCAUGCAGGACCAAUCUGUGUAGAGUGGAGAUGAAGAAAGCUCAUCAGCUAACAUAAAAAAAAUGGAGGAACUCGUAUGGCGUAUGGGGCCUACAUGUAGUAACGUACAUCCACUCUGAAUCUAACAUAUAAAGAGAAAAGUCUCCUUACCAUGAGUCGUUGGACUUACGUAUGUACAUAGCGGCUGCCACUCCAUGGCCACCAGAUCCCUACCGCUGCAGCAUCGAUCCCUUAUCACCAUGAUCAAGGGUACCUAGCAGCAGCCUACAUAAGGAUAUGUACAUAUCAUGAAGCAAUUAUAAUCAGCAAGCAGCAGCCUUCUCUGUGUUCUCUGUAUAGAUGUGUGGUAACCAAGCAGCAGCAUGAACAAAAUUGCAGCAGCGGGCUGCUGCUCUCCUCUCUGAUCUCUCUCUAUAUGCAAUAGUAGUAUAGCAGAACAUCAAAAUUAGCAAUGGCAGAGCAAUCUUGAAAAAAUAGUAGGAAUAUAAUUAUAAAGAUUCUAAUGUGUUUAUUUUGGCACAUCGGAAUAUUCAGUGUGUAUAUCUGAGUUCAACACCAGCUAUAAUGGCUACCAAUCUUGGUUAAGUACUGAUCAAGUAGCAUUCGGCUGAACAAAAGCAAUAAACUUCAAUCUUUAUGUCCAGAGAAAAUUAGGAAUAAUAGUGAGCAAAGCAUAUGAACAUAUCUCAUUAUUCAAAACUUAAAGUUAACAAAUCUACAAUGUGCAUCCUUGUGCACAACCCAUCUCUAAGAAAUUGUUUGGAACAUCAUUGAUAGAAAUUUAUUAGCAGAAUUUAAGCUAUAACAUCGUAGGCAAUACAAAGGAAUUGAGAUGUAAGCUGAAUCUUCCUUGAACUUUCAGGCCUGGCCACUCAGACCCAUUAGUCAUUAGUUUAAAGUUCAAAACUGAUGAUAGAAU
rnacentral:lncRNA from 1 species